CACACUGCUAUAAAGAACUACCUGAGACUUGGUAAUUUCUAAAGAAAAGAGGCUUAAUUGACUCACAGUUCUUCCUGGCUGGGGAGACUGCAGGAAACUUAGAAUCAUGGAAUAAGGCAAAGGGGAAGCAAGACACAACUUGCAUGGCACCCAGAGGAGAGAGAGAGAAAGGAAGCUAGGGGGGAAGUGCUAUACUUUUAAACCAUCAGAUCUUGUGAGAACUUACUUACUCAUGAGAACAGCACAGGGGAAACUGCCCCUACAAUUACCUCACACUAGGUCCCUCCCUAAUGUGGGGAUUAUAAUUCGAGGUGAGAUUUGAGUAGGGACACAGAGCCAAAUUAUGUCAGCAAUUAUUGAAAACUAUCAUAGUAUAAUUCCUAAAACGUAACUGAGCUAUACUAUGUUGUGCUGCCAUUCACAGAGCAGCAAGGAUCCAUAGAAAUACUACAUUUAAUGAAGUGUUGGUAAAAGUUUAGCAAACAACUCUUUAGGAAAAAAGAAAGCUUUGAUGAACAAUAUUUAAAAAUUUUUGUUCACUACCACAGUCAAGGUCAAUCUACCAAUGUGAUGUCACUGAACACAGAGUUGUGAAUAGAAGUACACACUCAGAUCUUCUGAGUCAGGACACACAGGCUGCAGCAAGCAAUGAAAACAAUUGAAUAUAUUAUUAUUAUGAAGUUAUUCACAUUUUAUUAACAAAAUAAGCUAAGAUGAAAAUGUGAUGACUAGAACUAAAAAUCGUAACUGAAGAAACUUGUGAAGAACUGUAGAACCCAGCAUCUUUGAGGCCACCAUAUAAGUCAUGGAUUGUUUAUGUUGUACUGUUAUUUGAGAGGAAUAAAAUUCCAUUUUGUAUAAGUUA